rnacentral:miRNA from 1 species
CUUUGGCGAUUUAGCUCCGUGA